CCGUGAUUCUGUGUUUGCUCGCGACCAUACUAUCUUGUAUCCGACACACUGUACGGGAUCCAAAAGGUUCCACGAACAACUACGGACAACACAGAUGCAUUAUCUACCUCUAUGUUAAUGCACAGCUGCCUGCGUGGAGGCUCAGGAUGGUUUCUAGGCUUUCAAGAGGAAUCCCUUCGUUCCAAACUGAUAAAGAUGAAGACAUGGGUCAUCACCCUCAAUCCCGUUUAGAAGGAAGUGUAAGUGAUAAAGCAAGACAAAGGCCCUGUCUAAAAACGAUGGUUCUGAAGAAUGAAAGGAGCUUGGCUCAUCUGCCAAGACCCGUGCAAGGGGAUCAGGUAUGCAUCAAACGGCAGUUCAGGAGAUCUGUUCAAGUGAAUUUCCUUGUUUCAAUUACUUUUCAAAAAUAUGCAUAAUUUAAAGCUGGAGGCUGCACACACGAUCAGUCAUUCUCUCUUCUCCCUGCCUAUCUCCCUCCAAGCCGUUCUCUGCCGAGGCAGCUGUGAGACAGUACAGGAGCGGCACACGGACAUGUGUCCCCAUUCUGAGACUGAAUCUUCACUCUGCUGUUUACCAGCUACACGACCUUGGGCAGUUCAGCCAAACUUUUGAGACUUAUUUUUCUCAAAUGCAAACUGAUGAUAAUACUCAUUUUAUAAAAUUACAGUGAGAAAAAACUAAGCCUACUAUAAGCAAUAAAUACACCUUAAUCCUAACACUAAAAUUGUAAAAGUCACUUUUCAGAAAAGUGACCUUUAGAAAAAUUAGAAAAGCUAUGGACCAUGCAGUAAUGUGGCAUCAGAGAGAUGUUUAGGGAUGACAAAGAAUUAUUAGAAAUACUGAAUUAUUGAUUUUAAUUACUGUUGAAGCCAUUAGGAAAAUUUUAACUCUAUGUUUCUUUUGAAUUAGACAAAUUACCAUUCUUAGAAUAGCAAACCAGAUACAAACAAAUCAUCAUGAAUAGAUACUAUUUGAGCAAGUGUUCUGAAGAUGUUCAACAGUGAAAUUAAAGCUGGGGGUGAAGGAGUACGCCUGUAAUGCUAGCACUCUGGGUGGAGGAUCACAAUUCUGAGCCGAGCUUGACAACUCAGUGACUUAGGAA
rnacentral:lncRNA from 1 species